rnacentral:rRNA from 1 species
CCUACGGGAGGCAGCAGUGAGGAAUAUUGGUCAAUGGACGGAAGUCUGAACCAGCCAUGCCGCGUGCAGGAAGACGGCUCUCUGAGUUGUAAACUGCUUUUGUACAAGGGUAAACAUGAAUACGUGUAUUCAGCUGAAAGUACCGUACGAAUAAGGAUCGGCUAACUCCGUGCCAGCAGCCACGGUAAUACGGAGGAUCCAAGCGUUAUCCGGAUUUAUGGGGUUUAAAGGUUGCGUUGGCGGAUUGAUAAGUUAGAGGUGAAAUGUCCGGGCUUAACUCGGGAACUGCCUCUAAUACUGUUGGGCUAGAGAGUAGAUGCGGUAGGCGGAAUGUAUGGUGUAGCGGUGAAAUGCUUAGAGAUCAUACAGAACACCGAUUGCGAAGGCAGCUUACCAAUCUAUAUCUGACGUUGAGGCACGAAAGCGUGGGGAGCAAACAGGAUUAGAUACCCGGGUAGUC